rnacentral:lncRNA from 10 species
CGUGGUCUUGCAUUUCCUACUUGGUCCUGUUCGUGGCGCCGCGCCUCCGGGUGUUGGGGAGUCCGGGAUGAUGGGGAAUCCGGGGCUCGCCCUAGUCGCGGGGACACCGCCUUCCAGGAGCUGUCCCCAGGCAAACUCACAGACAUCUUCAAAGAGCCUUCUUGGACAUUCUGCUUUUUGCUCCUCAUAACAGGCUUCGAUGGAGUUUCUCUCUUAUUUUCCAGGCUGCAGUACAGUGGCGUGAUCUCGGCUCACUGCAACCUCCACCUCCCAGGUUCAAGCGAUUCUCCUGUCUUAGCCUCACGAGUAGCCGGGAUUACAGGCACAUGCCCCCAUUCCCAGCUAAUUUUUGUAUUUUUAGUAGUGACGGGGUUUCAUCAUAUUGGUCAGGCUGGUCUCAAACUCCUGACCUCAGGUGAUCCGCCUCGGCCUCCCAAAGUGUUGGGAUUACAGGCGUGAGCCACCCACUGUAUCUCUUGUUCGGAGGAAUAUCUAAUCAAGAAAAUCAUUUUUACUGUUUUUAUUUUUUGGUUUGUUCGUUUUUUUCCUGUGAGAUGGAGUUUCACUCUUGUUGCCCAUCCUGGUGUACAAUGGCGCGAUCUCGGCUCACUUCAACCUCCGCCUCCCAGUGCGUCCGGAAUUGGUGGGUUCUUGGUCUCACUGACUUCAAGAAUGAAGCUGCGCACCCUCACGGCAUCUGGAUAUUAAGACUGUCUCCAGCCCUUUGAGGUUGAGAGAGGAAGCAAGCACGGAGGAAUGGAUUUGACAACCCACAUGUCCGUGACUCAAAGCAAGCAAGGCCUUGCACAACCAACUCGCCACCCACACAAUCUGCACAGUCUCAGUGAGAAAGCAGGAGCAGGGAGCUCUCCGCUGAGAGUGAAGAAAUGUCCUCAACUCGACUUCUCUGCAGUGUGCAUGUGUGUGAAACACAGACACACACGGGAGGAAUUUGGCUCUGUCAUUUUAGUGUACCAAAGAAAAAAAAACAGGGAGAAAUCACUUGUUUGAAGCCCUAAAUGACAUAAGGAAGAUUUUCCCAGAUCUAAAUAAUGAUCCCUAAGGUCAGGUGCUGUGUAUGGUAUGGAUUUGGAAACUUCAUAAUGUCUCUGACCACCACUCCAGGACACUGCAGACAGGUGUGCAUUUACUCAGCAUCCAGUAAACACCUGCAAGGUGCAGAGUACUACACUAGGCACAGGGAACAGAGCUACUGACUGACUGCCAGAGUUUCGAAGAAUACAGAUAAGUCAACUAUUAAAGCUAGGAAACAGACCGGAUGCGGUGGCUCACGCCUGUAAUCCCAGCACUUUGGAAGACCGAGGCGGGUGGAUCAACUGAGGUCAAGAGUUCAAGACCAGCCUGCCAACAUGGUGAAACUCCGUCCCUAUUAAUAAUACAAAAAAAUUAGCUGGGCAUGGUGGCACAUGCCUGUAAUCCCAGCUAUUCGGGAGGCUGAGGCAGGAGAAUUGCUUGAACCCAGGAGGCUGCAGUGAGCUGAGAUCGCGCCAUUGCACUCCAGCCUGGGCAACAAGAGCGAAACUCUGCCUCCAAUAAAUAAAUAAAUAAAAUAAAAUAAAAUAAAAUAAAGCCAUAAAACAGUAAAGCCAGUCGUUUUUGCCUCAAAUACUCCUCCAAUUCAUCACCUCCUCUCUAUCUCCAUGGCCACCAUCAUCUCUCCCUGGAAAUGCUGCGAGAUCCCUCUAACUAGACUUUCCACAAUUAACUUCCACAUGACCACCAAAGGCAUGCCAUUCUCCUGCUUACACCCUUCCUGGGUGUUAUGGAUUGAAUUAUGGCCCCCGAAGUCAUAUGUUGAAGCCAUAACACCCCUCAAUGUGACUACAUGGAGAGAGGUCCUUUAAGGAGGUAGUUAAGGUUAAAUAAGGUCAUCAGAUGGGGCCCUAAUCCAAUAGGACUUGUGUAUUUUAUUUUUAUUAUUUUUUAGACUCAGUUUCGCUCUGUUGCCCAGGCUAGAGUGCAGUGGCAU